rnacentral:lncRNA from 1 species
UUCUUACAUGAAAACUGUCGCUAGCCUGGACUGGGCCUACCAUAGCACUUUGGACAGCACAGCCAAGUCUGUAAGAAGAUGGGAAGAAUUUCAAGUGUGGAAGAAGUCAUACAAAUGGGAAAAUUUAUGUAAACAGUUGCAGUGCAUAUAGGGCAUCGUCUUCUAAUAGAUACACACCUCAUUAACAAGUAUGUACGAUGUACUGCAAUUAU